rnacentral:piRNA from 1 species
CCAUUUCGGGGUUCACCUCUGGGUGU